UAAAAAAAGGUAAGCUACUAAGAGCGAAUGGUGGAUGCCUUGACUGGUAAAGGCGAUGAAGGACGUACUAGACUGCGAUAAGCUAUGGGGAGCUGUCAAGAAGCUUUGAUCCGUAGAUUUCCGAAUGGGGCAACCCAAUGUAUAGAGAUAUACAUUACCUAUAUAGGAGCGAACGAGGGGAAUUGAAACAUCUUAGUACCCUCAGGAAAAGAAAUCAAUAGAGAUUGCGUCAGUAGCGGCGAGCGAAAGCGCAAGAGGGCAAACCCAGUGCUUGCACUGGGGGUUGUAGGACUGCAAUGUGCAAGAGCUGAGUUUAGCAGAACAUUCUGGAAAGUAUAGCCAUAGAGGGUGAUAGUCCCGUAUGCGAAAAACAAAGCUUAGCUAGCAGUAUCCUGAGUAGGGCGGGACACGAGGAAUCCUGUCUGAAUCCGGGUCGACCACGAUCCAACCCUAAAUACUAAUACCAGAUCGAUAGUGCACAAGUACCGUGAGGGAAAGGUGAAAAGAACUGAGGUGAUCAGAGUGAAAUAGAACCUGAAACCAUUUGCUUACAAUCAUUCAGAGCACUAUGUAGCAAUACAGUGUGAUGGACUGCCUUUUGCAUAAUGAGCCUGCGAGUUGUGGUGUCUGGCAAGGUUAAGCAAACGCGAAGCCGUAGCGAAAGCGAGUCUGAAUAGGGCGCUUAGUCAGAUGCUGCAGACCCGAAACGAAGUGAUCUAUCCAUGAGCAAGUUGAAGCUAGUGUAAGAACUAGUGGAGGACUGAACCCAUAGGCGUUGAAAAGCCCCGGGAUGACUUGUGGAUAGGGGUGAAAGGCCAAUCAAACUUCGUGAUAGCUGGUUCUCUCCGAAAUAUAUUUAGGUAUAGCGUUGUGUCGUAAUAUAAGGGGGUAGAGCACUGAAUGGGCUAGGGCAUACACCAAUGUACCAAACCCUAUCAAACUCCGAAUACCUUAUAUGUAAUCACAGCAGUCAGGCGGCGAGUGAUAAAAUCCGUCGUCAAGAGGGAAACAACCCAGACUACCAGCUAAGGUCCCUAAAUCUUACUUAAGUGGAAAACGAUGUGAAGUUACUUAAACAACCAGGAGGUUGGCUUAGAAGCAGCCAUCCUUUAAAGAAAGCGUAAUAGCUCACUGGUCUAGUGAUUUUGCGCGGAAAAUAUAACGGGGCUAAAGUAAGUACCGAAGCUGUAGACUUGCACACAACUUAGAUUAUUUAAGUUUAGAAUAUGAGAAACUAAGUUAUAUGUUUAGUUAUAUUUUUACUGAUUUUUAUAGAGUAAAGAUAGAAAUAAAACUUAGUAAAAUCAGUAAAAAUAUUCUUAGGCUAAAGUUAAGUAGUUUAAGUUGUGUGCAAGUGGUAGGAGAGCGUUCUAUUUGCGUCGAAGGUAUACCGGUAAGGAGUGCUGGAGCGAAUAGAAGUGAGCAUGCAGGCAUGAGUAGCGAUAAUUAAUGUGAGAAUCAUUAACGCCGUAAACCCAAGGUUUCCUACGCGAUGCUCGUCAUCGUAGGGUUAGUCGGGUCCUAAGUCGAGUCCGAAAGGGGUAGACGAUGGCAAAUUGGUUAAUAUUCCAAUACCAACAUUAGUGUGCGAUGGAAGGACGCUUAGGGCUAAGGGGGCUAGCGGAUGGAAGUGCUAGUCUAAGGUCGUAGGAGGUUAUACAGGCAAAUCCGUAUAACAAUACUCCGAGAACUGAAAGGCUUUUUGAAGUCUUCGGAUGGAUAGAAGAACCCCUGAUGCCGUCGAGCCAAGAAAAGUUUCUAAGUUUAGCUAAUGUUGCCCGUACCGUAAACCGACACAGGUGGGUGGGAUGAGUAUUCUAAGGCGCGUGGAAGAACUCUCUUUAAGGAACUCUGCAAAAUAGCACCGUAUCUUCGGUAUAAGGUGUGGUUAGCUUUGUAUUAGGAUUUACUCCGAAAGCAAGGAAACUUACAACAAAGAGUCCCUCCCGACUGUUUACCAAAAACACAGCACUCUGCUAACUCGUAAGAGGAUGUAUAGGGUGUGACGCCUGCCCGGUGCUCGAAGGUUAAUUGAUGGGGUUAGCAUUAGCGAAGCUCUUGAUCGAAGCCCGAGUAAACGGCGGCCGUAACUAUAACGGUCCUAAGGUAGCGAAAUUCCUUGUCGGUUAAAUACCGACCUGCAUGAAUGGCGUAACGAGAUGGGAGCUGUCUCAAAGAGGGAUCCAGUGAAAUUGUAGUGGAGGUGAAAAUUCCUCCUACCCGCGGCAAGACGGAAAGACCCCGUGGACCUUUACUACAGCUUGACACUGCUACUUGGAUAAGAAUGUGCAGGAUAGGUGGGAGGCU
rnacentral:rRNA from 1 species